CUCAAAGAUUAAGCCAUGCAUGUGUAAGUGCAAGCCGAACUAAGGCGAAACCGCGAAAGGCUCAUUACAUCAGUUGUGGUUCCUUGGACUGUACCCAGUUACUUGGAUAACUGCGGAAAAUCUGGAGCUAAUACAUGCCGACAGAUUCCCGAACCGAGAGGUGAGGGAAGCUUUUAUUAGAUCAAAACCAAAAAUCCUCCUCGGAGGAAAAGGUUUAAGGUGACUCUGAAUAACUUUGUGCCGAUCGCACGGCCCUCGCGCCGGCGACGCGUCUUUCAAAUGUCUGCCUUAUCAACUUUCGAUGGUAGGCUCUGCGCCUACCAUGGUUGUAACGGGUGACGGGGAAUCAGGGUUCGAUUCCGGAGAGGGAGCCUGAGAAACGGCUACCACAUCCAAGGAAGGCAGCAGGCGCGCAAAUUACCCACUCCCGGCUCGGGGAGGUAGUGACGAAAGAUAACGAUGCAGGACUCUUUUGAGGCCCUGUAAUCGGAAUGACUACAUUUUAAAUCUCUUAAGGAGUAUCAAUUGGAGGGCAAGUCUGGUGCCAGCAGCCGCGGUAAUUCCAGCUCCAAUAGCGUAUAUAAAAGUUGUUGCGGUUAAAAAGCUCGUAGUUGGAUCUGUGUCCCGCACCGUCGGUUCACCGCCCGACGGUGUCAAACUGACGCGAUGCGGGACGUCCUGCCGGUGGCGUGUCUAGCUGGCGUCCUUCGGGGCGUUGGGCGGCGCCGAUUCAAUCCUGUCGCGGUGCUCUUCAUUGAGUGUCGAGGUGGGCCGGCACGUUUACUUUGAACAAAUUAGAGUGCUUCAAGCAGGCUGGAUAUUGCCUGAAUGCUAGUGCAUGGAAUAAUGGAAUAGGACCUCGGUUCUAUUUUGUUGGUUUUCAGAACCAGAGGUAAUGAUUAAUGGAGACAGGCGGGGGCAUUCGUAUUGCGACGUUAGAGGUGAAAUUCUUGGAUCGUCGCAAGACGGACCGAAGCGAAAGCAUUUGCCAAGGAUGUUCUCGUUGAUCAAGAACGAAAGUUAGAGGUUCGAAGGCGAUCAGAUACCGCCCUAGUUCUAACCAUAAACGAUGUUGACUAGCCAUCCGAUAAAGGUUCUUUUUAUGCCUUAUCGGGCAGCUUCCGGGAAACCAAAGUUUUUGAAUUCCGGGGGAAGUAUGGUUGCAAAGCUGAAACUUAAAGGAAUUGACGGAAGGGCACCACCAGGAGUGGAGCCUGCGGCUUAAUUUGACUCAACACGGGAAAUCUCACCAGGCCCGGACACUGGAAGGAUUGACAGAUUGAUAGCUCUUUCUUGAUUCAGUGGGUGGUGGUGCAUGGCCGUUCUUAGUUGGUGGAGCGAUUUGUCUGGUUAAUUCCGAUAACGAACGAGACUCUAGCCUGCUAACUAGUCGAUGAUUUCAAUCCGGCAUCCUUUAACGGCUGCCGGCGAAAACAACUCUUCUUAGAGGGACAGGCGGCUCCUAGCCGCACGAGAUUGAGCAAUAACAGGUCUGUGAUGCCCUUAGAUGUUCUGGGCCGCACGCGCGCUACAAUGAAGGUAUCAACGUGUUUUCCUUGGCCGAGAGGCCCGGGUAACCCGCUGAACCACCUUCGUGCUUGGGACUGGGGCUUGAAAUUGUUCCCCAUGAACGAGGAAUUCCCAGUAAAGGCGUGUCACUAGCACGCCUUGAUUACGUCCCUGCCCUUUGUACACACCGCCCGUCGCUACUACCGAUUGAAUGAAUUAGUGAGGUCUUCGGACCAGCGCGCGGUUCUCGUCCCUCGGGACUCCCGUCGCUGCAGGGAAGAUGAUCGAACUUGUUCAUUUAGAGGAAGUAAAAGUCGUAACAAGGUUUCCGUAGGUGAACCUGCGGAAG
rnacentral:rRNA from 1 species